rnacentral:rRNA from 1 species
UUUUUAGUGGCGAACGGGUGAGUAACACGUGAGAAUCUGCCUUUAGGAAGAGGAUAACAUUUAGAAAUAUUUGCUAAUACUCUAUAUGCUUUACAGUGAAAGAAUUUAUUCGCCUAAAGAGGAGCUCGCGUCUGAUUAGCUAGUUGGUAGGGUAAAGGCCUACCAAGGCGACGAUCAGUAGUUGGUCUGAGAGGACGGCCAGCCACAUUGGAACUGAGACACGGUCCAGACUCUUACGGGAGGCAGCAGUGAGGAAUUUUCUGCAAUGGGCGCAAGCCUGACAGAGCAAUACCGCGUGAGGGAUGACUGCCUACGGGUUGUAAACCUCUUUUCUCAAGGAGGAAGAUCUGACGUUACUUGAGGAAUAAGCAUCGGCUAACCCUGUGCCAGCAGCCGCGGUAAUACAGGGGAUGCAAGUGUUAUCCGGAAUUAUUGGGCGUAAAGCGUCUGCAGGUUGAUCUACAAGUCUUUUGUUAAAUUUUCAGGCUUAACCUGAAGUCAGCAAAAGAAACUGUUUAUCUUGAGUAUGGUAGAGGUAAGGGGAAUUUCCAGUGGAGCGGUGAAAUGCGUAGAUAUUGGAAAGAACACCAACAGCGAAGGCACCUUACUGGGCCAUUACUGACACUCAGAGACGAAAGCUAGGGUAGCAAACGGGAUUAGAUACCCCGGUAGUCCUAGCCGUAAACGAUGGAUACUAGAUGUUGUGUACUUUAAUAGUAUGCAGUGUCGUAGCU